GACAGAGGUCCCAAGCGUUAGGCGGAAUCACUGGGCUUAAAGCGUGUGUAGGCGGAUUUGUAAGUACCUUGUGAAAUCCCACGGCUCAACCGUGGAACUGCUUGGUAUACUGCUUAUCUUGGGUCAUCUAGGGGCUACCGGAACAAGUGGUGUAGCAGUGAAAUGCGUAGAUAUCAAGAGGAACACCAGUGGCGAAGGCGAGUCCCUGGACAACACCUGACACUGAGGCACGAAAGCCGGGGGAGCAAACAGG
rnacentral:rRNA from 1 species